AUUGAACGCUGGCGGCAUGCCUAAUACAUGCAAGUCGAACGAGCUCUUCGGAGCUAGUGGCGGACGGGUGAGUAACACGUUGGUACCUACCCCGAAGUGGGGAAUAACUGCCCGAAAGGGUGGCUAAUACCGCAUAAUACCGUAAGGUUAAAGCAGUAAUGCGCUUCGGGAGGGGCCUGCGUCCGAUUAGCUAGUUGGCGGGGUAAAUGACCAACAAGGCGACGAUGGGUAGCUGGAUCGAGAAGUUGACCAGCCACACUGGGACUGAGAUACGGCCCAGACUCCUACGGGAGGCAGCAGUAAGGAAUCGUCCACAAUGGACGAAAGUCUGAUGGAGCAAUGCCGCGUGCAGGAUGACGGCCUUCGGGUUGUAAACUGCUUUUAUAUGGGUAGAUUAUGACGGUACCAUAUGAAUAAGGACCGGCUAACUACGUGCCAGCAGCCGCCGCGGUAA
rnacentral:rRNA from 1 species